GUGUCUACGGAGUGGAAAGAAGUUGUUGCAUCUGAUAAUUCUUCAAUCGUGUAGCAGCAACUGCAGCUUACAUGGAAUGAGGAUUAUCGGAUUCAUCUACACUCACUGAUCAUCCAAGGUGAAUUGAUGACCUCAAGCAAAUGGAUGUUGUUGUCAUCUGAAGAGAAGGUUGUCCUGGGCCCAUGUUUAGAGGCAUUUGGGGCAUAUCAGACACAUAUCAGAAUCAAGCUGCAUGCACACUUGAGUUUAUUCAGAGAGAAGUUGUGGGCAUCAGUCCGGAAACUGGAUCAAAAAUUUGCUGCUGGAAUGUGAGACAAAUAAAGGCAUGGAAUGAACCCAAAUGUAUGAACACUGCUACGAAAACUAAUGGACUUUAAAUGGCUUGCCAGUUAAUUCCAAUGGAAUUGAAGAAGA